CGGCGGCCACGUGACAGGGGGGUCACGCGCAGGGUCGUAGGGGACCGCCUGGGGAUCCCCGGACGGCUGCGAGGAAUGAGCGGUUGGCUCGGGCUGGUUUCCUCCCUCCACCGCCUGCUUGUUUCGCCAUGCCCGGGCCGGACGGUGGGGCUGCAGCGGCGAAAGCGACUGAAGUCCGGGAGCAGUCGCAUGAGCUUCCCGGUCACCAGGAGGCCCCGGGAACAGACACCUCACCCUGACAUUGUGGCAGGAACUUCUGGAUUGCUUUCCAAAGUGGCUGCACUGUUUUCUAUCCCCACUGGGCAGGAAAACAUCUAAGAAAGGAGGCUCCCCCCUUCCCUUGCAGGGUUACCAGCAAUUAAAAAGAAGUACUAGAGAGGCAAAUAUCGGCAGUAUACAUCUAAGCGCUGGUCGGAAAAGAAGGAACUCAGCCCAAGAACUUGCCCAAUCUGAUACUGGAGGUGCCACUCAAGAACCACUCCCUCCAAGAUGUUUUCCUGGAUUUCCUCAGCCUAAAGUAAUCCCUCUUUUUCCUGGGCUAUACCAUCUGGAACAGAUGACUUCCAAGGACACCGUAGCAAAGAAAAAGAGAACUGGAAGCCCAUGUGCCUUAAUCGCUUCAUCCUAGAGGGCGCAGCAGUCUGGAAAUAGAAACAAUGGUGGUGGAUCAAUUCAAUUGAUCCAGAUUUGGAAGUUGCGUGGCAAGUGAGAAGGAUUUGGAUGGUAAUGGUGAGAAAGGAUUUGAAAUAAUUUAUCAAACCUGGUUCAGAUCAAUCCUGGUGCAUAAGUGACUAACAAGGAGCUGGAGUGGAUGGCAUAGCAUAGUGGCUAGAACCCUAAAACAAGGGAUUUUACAUGAAAGUGGAAAGGUAACUGUUUGGUUUUGCAUUUACCCAUUCCCUCUGUUGAGUUUUUUUUUUUUAAUACUGAGUUAUUCACUACUUUGUCUUCUUUUUUUUUGAGACAGAGUCUCAUUCUGUUGCUCAGGCUAGAGUACAGUGGCAAUCUCGGCUCACUGCAGUCUCUACCUCCUGGGUUCCAGUGAUUCUUGUUCCUCAACCUUCUGAGUAGCUGGGAUUACAGAUGCCCACUACCAUGCCCAGCUAAUUUUUGUGUUUUUAUUAGAGAUGGGGUUUCACCAUGUUGACCAGGCUGAUCUCGAACUCCUGACCUCAAGUAACCCACCCACCUCAGCCUCCCAAAGUGCUGGGAUUACAGGCGUAAGCCACUGCACCUGGCCUGCUUUGCCUUCUUAAACAGAUGAUUCAGAACAUAAUAUAACCUUGUCUUGUGACUCAGGGUGGCCAUUAUGAUCAUCUGCUUUUGACCUGGACCUCUGAGGCAUGUAGCAAUAUGUCUUUCCUUAUGUCUUUUCCCUAAGUGUGUUCCGGAUUUUUGUGCUUUUGAAGAAGUUCUGAGAUCAACGUAUUCUUGGUUCUUCUAAUGUGUAGCUGUUUGACUAAGGACUGACUCCAUGCAUCUCCUAUGAAGUGAAGUUCAUGGGUUUUAUGACAGCAAUUUUACAUGCUGCUUAGAUGCUUUUUUCUCAUCUAGGUUUUUAGUUAUAUUAUGGCAGAGAUUAUAAGAAAUCUGAUCUCUAGAGAAGUGCUGGUACUUCUUUAAUUUGGCAUAGACUAUUUUUGGCAAGCUAGUUUUCUAGCAUUGAACACUUUAAUGAAUAAGUUCAUAGUCACCCUAUCCACAUUCUUUUUAAUGGUAGAAAACUGUCUGUCUAAUACAGUAGCCAUUAGCUACAUGUAGAUUUUUAAAUUUAAAUAUACAUUAAUUAAGAGUAGGCUGGGCAUGGUGGUUCAUGCCUGUAAUCCCAGCACUUCAGAAGGCCAAAGUGGGUGGAUCAUUUGAGGUCAGGAGUUCAAGACCAGCCUGGCCAACAUGGUGAAACCCCGUUUCCACUAAAAAUACAAAAAUUAGCUGGGCGUGGUGGUACACACCUGUAAUCCCAGCUACUCGGGAGGCUGAGGCAGGAGAAUUCCUUGAACCCAGGAGGCAGAGGUUUGCAGUAGCCGAAAUCCGCCACUGCACUUCAACCUGGGUGACAGAGCAAGACUCCAUCUCAAAAAAAAAAAAAGAAAGAAAAAAUUCCCUUAUUGUACUAGCCACAUUUCAAGUGCUUAGUAGUCACAUGUGGCUACUGGCUACCCUAUUGGAAAGUGCAGAUGUAGAACACUUUCAUCAUCAAAUAAAGUUCUAUAGAGCAGCAAUGGUUUAGACAUUGAGCCAGUCUCUUCUCAGGCUUCUUGUUUCCAAACUAGAGUCUCAUGGUUUAAGUGCAUCCUUGUACAAGCAACCAUGCUCAUACUAUUCUCCAACACUCUCUGAUUUCCAACCCCUGAUCAUUGUCAUUUGCUCUCUAUUAGUAUUAAUUUCCUAUGGCUACUAUAACAAAUCAUCACAAGUUUAGUGGCUUAAAACAACAUAAAUUUAUUAUCACAUAUGACAUAGUUUUGAUAUUUGUCCCCUUCAAAUCUCAUGUUGAAAUGUGACCCCUAAUGUUGGAGGUGGAGCCCACUGGGAGGUGUUUAGGUUAUGGGGGUUGAUCCCUCUUGAAUAGCUUGGUGCUGUCCCCAUGAUAAUGAAUGAGUUCUCACUCUAUUAGUUUACAGGAGAUCUAGUUGUUUACAAGUACAUAGCAUGCCUCCCCUCUCUCUAUCACUCCCCCCUCACCAUGUGACAUGCCUGCUCACCCUUUGCCAUCUGCCAUGAUUAGAAGCUUCCUGAGGUUCUCACCAGAAGCAGAUGCUGGCAUCAUGCUGCUUGCUGCUUAUACAGCCUGCAGAACUGUGAGGCAAAUCAACCUCUUUUAUUUAUAAAUUACCCAGUCUCAGGUGUUCCUUUAUAGCCACACAAAACCAACUAAGGCAAUACAGUUUUGGAGAUUGAAGUUCAAAAUCAGCCAUUUUCCAGCUUCUAGAUGCUGCCUACAUUCCUUAGUUCAUAGCUCCUUCCUCCGUCUUCAAAGCCUGCAGCGUAGCAUCUUCAAGUCUCUCUGUGACUCUCUGACCUCCGCCUCCAUAGUCACGUGACCUUCUCUGACUCUGACCUUCCUGCCUCUUUUAUGAAGAGUCCGUAAUAAAGAUUAGGUCGCCUUGGCUAAUCCAGAGCAAUCAUCUCAUUUCAAGAAUAUUAACUUAAUCACACCUGCAAAGUCCCUUUCAGCAUUUUACCAUUAUGUUAUACCGGUAUGUUGUGAGGACCACUAUUCAGCCUGCCACAGACAGUUUUCUACAGUGGCAUUUUGUUUUCCUGUGAUGGACAGUGAUCCAGUGGUCCUUAUUUUCCAGGACCAGAGUAUGCUGGUCCAGCACAGAGUAUGCUGAUAUCCCAAGGUUUUAUAUAAAGGGAGGAUAAUGUUUUAAAAUCUUAUUUUCUGUGAGAAAACAUUUUAAAUGGUCCAUUUUCAAGGUAUGAUAAAUCUAAGUACUGGCAGCCAGCCUGCGGACGUGACAAACCGCACAGCUCAUGCACCUAGAAAGUCGCAAUAAGCAAACAGAAUGUAGAGGAGGAGUCAGCCUAUAAAAGGGAAGAAAAAGUUUACAGAGUUAUUGGAAAAUCGAAACUUAAGCAGGGAAGGGGACUGGGUUAUAACCUUAUAAGGGAUAAUGAAACUUAGGUGACGUCCAGAAAGAUUGUAACCCCACAGUAUUUGACCAAUGAGGAACUGGGGGAGGGACUUGCGUGCUAGGAGAUAAAUUACCUGCUGUAGCUGCCCCAGCUGUGCCUGCCUACCAGACACCCAUUCUUGCACGAUCACCAUUAAAAUUCUCUCUUCCAUUGUUCUUUUGUGUCUCUGAGUCCAUUCUUUGGGUUUGGACAGAUGAAUGUGUUUCUCACAAACUUGGGGGCCCAUCUGGGAUCUCUGUGCCUGCGUGGAGUUGGACUCCAGCCAAGAGGGGAGAGGCGUCCCACCUGAUUUAAGUGGCCUGCUCUGUCUGGGAAUCCCGGCUCCCUGCAGAGGCCAUAGACAAACCUGAGACUGUUAUUCAGGAGGCAGUGGAGGUGACACAGGGAGAAAAGCAGGCACCGUGGCAACCAGGCAACCUCAUGUACGAGCCAAGGAGAAGAAGCAGCAGACACCAAUGCAGGAUUGGUCUUCCACUUCCAGUCUGGACAAGAUAGCAUAGACUCAUUUCUCCCUGCUUCUCCCAGUGAACUACAGGACCAUGUGAGGAAUAACUCUGCCCAGAGAAAUCUGUUCAAACCUCAGGGUCUGCGGCUUUUAUGUGUAGAGGAACAGCUCUGUCAUGGCAACCUGACAACAGAGACCACACAGACAAAGACUUGACCUGCAGUUUAUCUGAAUCUUGGCAGAACUCCUUGUGAUCUUCUCGGUAUACAAGAGGAUAAGAGGUCCCUUUUGUUUUGAUGUCAUCCUUUUUGGUGUGUGAAACAAGGACCACAGGGAGCUGGCACCUUUGGCUACACUUCUUUUCACUCCCCAGGACUGCAGCAAUUCAGAUAAGAUGGUCUGGAAAGAACACUUGGCUAGCACAGCAUCUCCAUCAAUGAACUGAUGCCAACUCUGAUUUUGAACCUCCUGAACCAAUGAACUUCAUUUCCAACAGCUUAUGUGAAAUUAUCUUCGCCAAUAAAAGCUUCCCCUUCCCCUUCCUUUUUUUU
rnacentral:lncRNA from 10 species